rnacentral:rRNA from 1 species
AGCGCGCCUUCGGGUGAGCGGGGACGGUAUACGCGUGGGAACGUCCUUCUCUACGGAAUAGCCUCUGGAAACGGAGAGUAAUACCGUAUACGCCCUUUGGGGGAAAGAUUUAUCGGAGAAGGAUCGGCCCUGCGCUUUUUAGAUUAGUGUACGUUGGUAGGGGGUUAAACCGGCGGCCUACCAAGCCUACGAUCUAUAGCUGGUUUUAGAGGAUGAUCAGCAACACUGGGACUGAGACACGGCCCAGACUCCUACGGGAGGCAGCAGUGGGGAAUCUUAGACAAUGGGGGCAACCCUGAUCUAGCCAUGCCGCGUGAGUGAUGAAGGCCUUAGGGUCGUAAAGCUCUUUCGCCUGUGAUGAUCAUGACAGUAGCAGGUAAAGAAACCCCGGCUAACUCCGUGCCAGCAGCCGCGGUAAUACGGAGGGGGUUA